rnacentral:rRNA from 1 species
AUACGGAGGGGACCAGCGUUGCUCGGAAUUACUGGGCGUAAAGCGCAUGCAGGCGGAUCGCUAAGUCGGGGGUGAAAGCCCGAGGCUCAACCUCGGAACUGCCUUCGAUACUGGCGAUCUUGAGUCCGCGAGAGGUGAGUGGAACUCCGAGUGUAGAGGUGAAAUUCGUAGAUAUUCGGAAGAACACCAGUGGCGAAGGCGGCUCACUGGCCCGGUACUGACGCUGAGAUGCGAAAGCGUGGGGAGCAAACAGAAUUAGAAACCCGAGUAGUCC